CUUUGCUGCCUUUCUUAUUCUUAUUUUAUUUCAUUAAAAAAAAGACCAAACAAAGUAUUUAAAAUGAACCCCUGCUCCAGCCUGUCUCUCUCUGACUCUCCACCCAUUAAUAAAUUCUCUCAACUCUUCCAUAACCAAAAGAGUAAGGCUGAGAACACAAGGAGAGGGAAAAAAAAAAAAAAGAUAUUUUCUGAGUUUUUGGGCUUAAUUUACUACAGCAAUUCAUAAAGAACACCACCAAGAAUGAGUUAUUACAACCAACAACAGCCUCUUGUUGGUGUUCCUCCACCUCAAGGUUACCCCCUCCUAAGGGCUACGCCCAACAGUACCCUCCUCCCUAUGCCCCUCAGUAUGCC